CUUGGUCAUUUAGAGGAAGUAAAAGUCGUAACAAGGUUUCCGUAGGUGAACCUGCGGAAGGAUCAUUACCGAGUUCAUGCCCUCACGGGUAGAUCUCCCACCCUUUGUAUACCAUACCUUUGUUGCUUUGGCGGGCCGCCUAGCUACUGGCUUCGGCUGGUAAGUGCCCGCCAGAGGACCCAAAACCCUGAAUAUUAGUGUCGUCUGAGUAAAAUUUUAAUAUUUAAAACUUUCAACAACGGAUCUCUUGGCUCUGGCAUCGAUGAAGAACGCAGCGAAAUGCGAUAAGUAAUGUGAAUUGCAGAAUUCAGUGAAUCAUCGAAUCUUUGAACGCACAUUGCGCCCCUUGGUAUUCCGAGGGGCAUGCCUAUUCGAGCGUCAUUAUCACCCCUCAAGCUUCGGCUUGGUGUUGAGGCCUGCUGUAAAGGCACCCUCUAAAAUCAGUGGCAGUGCUGUCAGGCUCUAAGCGUAGUAAUUUCAUCGCUAUAGGGUCCUGGUGGAUACUCGUCAAAACCCCCCCAUUUUUUAAUGAUUGACCUCGGAUUAGGUAGGGAUACCCGCUGAACUUAAGCAUAUCAAUAAGCGAAGGAAAAGAAACCAACAGGGAUUGCCUCAGUAACGGCGAGUGAAGCGGCAAAAGCUCAAAUUUGAAAUCUGGCUCUUUUAGGGUCCGAGUUGUAAUUUGUAGAAGAUGUUUCGGGUGUGGCUCCGGUUUAAGUUCUUUGGAAUAUUACAUCAUAGAGGGUGAGAAUCCCGUAUGUGACCGGCAGCCUUCGCCUAUGUGAAACUCUUUCGACGAGUCGAGUUGUUUGGGAAU
rnacentral:sRNA from 1 species